GAUGAAGAACGUAGCGAAAUGCGAUAAGUAGUGUGAAUUGCAGAAUUCAGUGAAUCAUCGAAUCUUUGAACGCACAUUGCGCCCCUUGGUAUUCCAUGGGGCAUGCCUGUUCGAGCGUCAUUUGUACCUUCAAGCUUUGCUUGGUGUUGGGUGUUUGUCUCGCCUCUGCGUGUAGACUCGCCUUAAAACAAUUGGCAGCCGGCGUAUUGAUUUCGGAGCACAGUACAUCUCGCGCUUUGCACUCAUAACGACGACGUCCAAAAGUACAUUUUUACACUCUUGACCUCGGAUCAGGUAGGGAUACCCGCUGAACUUAAGCAUAUCAUAAGCGGAGGA
rnacentral:misc_RNA from 1 species